rnacentral:tRNA from 1 species
GCGCCCGUAGCUCAAUUGGAUAGAGCGUCUGGCUACGGACCAGAAGGUUGUGGGUUCAAGUCCUUCCGGGCGUAC